GGAAAUAUAGCUCAGUAGUAGAACACUUGCCUAGCAUUGUGAGGCCCUGGGUUCAAUUCCCAGUAUCCCCA
rnacentral:tRNA from 1 species